CAACCAUGGAUGGUUCUUCCAAGGCGGCUGGAAUCGGAAGCGGGCCGGAAUCGUCUGAUUAUGGAGUAAAACAUUCCUGCAGCAGUUAAUUCCUCACGGAGACCAUGGGCCUGGUGUUUGGACCUUGAGGGUGGAGCUUUGCUUGGAGGACGGUGGAUCUCCUCUGUUGCCGCACCGCAUCAGAGCAGAGGAAAUUAAGUGACACCUUUCUUCUUCCUGUGAGACUACUGGGCGGAGCCCUAGUGCCCCCUAUGGACGAGGAGCCGCUGCUGACCCUGACGACCCCUCGGGAGGAGGCCGGUUUGUAACCUAUAAGGCCUCAUGAACCCAGUGGCUUCUCAGACCAAAAACCAGUAGCUGAUGGUGAAACCAACCUCCUAACUGGAAGACUCCACCAGCUGGAACGGUGUGACCAGUAGAGGACGAGCAGCUGAUGCUGACGGAGGCCCUGUUGAAGAAAACUUCCACCAGUCCACUGGAGGAUCUCCAGAGGAGACAAAAGGG